ensembl:snoRNA
GGCCUCUUGGAGCUUCCUACAGGCUGUGUUCUUACACCAAGAGUAUAUGCAGAGGAGGGAAAGAAACCUACCCCAUGCACACCUCAUCCCAGGCCCUGUGCCUGGUUUGUAUCAUAAAGGGAGGGGACAUGG